rnacentral:lncRNA from 1 species
CAGUUUGUACUCUUGGGACAUGGAUUUUUUUUGACUCUAAACUUGAUUCCAAAAGAGGGUAGUCAAAGAAAAAUAACACAUGCUCAAAAGGGGUAGCAAAGGAUAUAAAGUGUUUGGGUAGCAGAAAAAGGGCCUCCCAACCUCAAGAACGUCAAACAUGGUAUCUUUUCGCGAUCACAGCAUUGACGAACAUGUNUNUNNNNNNNAUUNNNGAACAUGUCUAUCUUCUUGGUGUGUCAUGGUCACAAGACAUUUUUUCUUCCCUUAGAGACAAACUU